UACGAGGGGGCAAGCGUUGUUCGGAAUUAUUGGGCGUAAAGGGCGCGUAGGCGGUGCGGUAAGUCACCUGUGAAACCUCUAGGCUUAACCUAGAGCCUGCAGGCGAAACUGCCGUGCUGGAGUGUGGGAGAGGUGCGUGGAAUUCCCGGUGUAGCGGUGAAAUGCGUAGAUGAUCGGAGGAACACCUGUGGCGAAAGCGGCGCACUGGACCACAACUGACGCUGAUGCGCGAAAGCUAGGGGAGCAAACAGG
rnacentral:rRNA from 1 species